rnacentral:rRNA from 1 species
AGUGAACGCUGGCGGUAGGCCUAACACAUGCAAGUCGAACGGCAGCACAGUAAGAGCUUGCUCUUACGGGUGGCGAGUGGCGGACGAGUGAGGAAUACAUCGGAAUCUACUUUUUCGGGGGGGAUAACGUAGGGAAACUUACUCUAAUACCGCAUACGACCUACGGGUGAAAGCAGGGGAUCUUCGGACCUUGCGCGAUUGAAUGAGCCGAUGUCGGAUUAGCUAGUUGGCGGGGUAAAGGCCCACCAAGGCGACGAUCCGUAGCUGGUCGGAGAGGAUGAUCAGCCACACUGGAACUGAGACACGGUCCAGACUCCUACGGGAGGCCGCAGUGGGGAAUAUUGGACAAUGGGCGCAAGCCUGAUCCAGCCAUACCGCGUGGGUGAAGAAGGCCUUCGGGUUGUAAAGCCCUUUUGUUGGGAAAGAAAAGCAGCAGGUUAAUACCCCGCUGUUCUGACGGUACCCAAAGAAUAAGCACCGGCUAACUUCGUG